UACGGGGGGAGCAAGCGUUGUUCGGAUUUACUGGGCGUAAAGGGCGCGUAGGCGGUCAGCACAAGUCAGUUGUGAAAUCUCCGGGCUUAACUCGGAAAGGUCAACUGAUACUGUGCGACUAGAGUGCGGAAGGGGCAACUGGAAUUCUUGGUGUAGCGGUGAAAUGCGUAGAGAUGCGGAGGAACACCGAUGGCGAAGGCAGCCCCCUGGGCCAAUACUGACGCUCAGGCACGAAAGCGUGGGGAGCAAACAGG
rnacentral:rRNA from 1 species